ACUUUAACGGUUCCAUUUUAAACAUACGACAAUUUGUAGCCGUUUGACCAUUCUGUGGAAAGUGUGUACAUGCGAACUACUUUGUUUACGUUUUCCAAGUUGGCGGCCGCCAGCGUACAAACCAUACAGGUAUGAUUUUUUACUUAUAUUAAACGAUAUAACUAUUUUAAAUCAAUGUAUAUGACAGAAUUCAAUUGCAUAGGUGUCAGGUCUGAUCGCUGGUGGACAUUAAACAAAAUUGCCGUUUCUUGGAAGGAGAAAUAACAGAAAUUUAAAAAAGGGGGAGGGAGUACUUAAAAAAAGGUAUCACACUUUAUUUUAGCUGCGGUACCAUACUGUGGCAUGCAUAAAUUUAUUCUCAUAGACAGAAAAUAGUGUUUGCUGGAUAUUAAAGAUAGUAGGAUUACAGUAGGAUCACCCCCACCCCCCCCCCCCCAAAAAAAAAACCCACUGCAUUAUCAUUAUUGUGUGGCAUUAGCAUGAUCAAGUAAAUCAGUAAUUAAGUAAGUAAAAAUUUAUUUGGAUUCAGCAAACAGUACAAACAUAUGCUCUAAUUAGUUUUUCACCGAAUAUAAAAACAUAUGAUCAGUACCCCCCUUUUGUUGACAAGCUGUAUAUUUUAAUAUAUAUGUCGUGUACAAGUUGCGAUUUUGUACAGGUUAUAACAUGUACAAAAAAUUUGUACAUGUUAUAAUUUGUACAAUGCAAAAAUACAAGUUAUAACAUGUACAAAAGUACCUCAUACAUGUUAUAACAUGUACAAAAUAUUGCUUAAAAAUGGUUUUAACCUGUACAAAAUUUGAAAAUGAAAAAUAUGUUUAUAUUAUUACAUUUACCUCAAUAAUAUUUUCACUAGUUUUUGUUAUUGUCCAUUGAUGUUAGUUUGAUACCUUUUUGAUACAGAUAAUGACCAGUUUAAUAGUUUUGAAAAUUACUUAAUACUUUAAAAAAAAAAGGGCUUUUAAAAUACACAUUUAGUCAAUAAACCUUUGGGUUAGAAACAGAAACAUUGUUACUUGAAUUAAUUUAAGUGAUGUUAACAUGGCUAAUGAAGCAAGUUUGAGCAUAACCAUUCAGCACUGUGUAUCAUCGCCACCAGUAAUUGGGUACUAACGAAGCGGAGAGAAAGGAAAAAAUAAAUAAAAAAGUCUAGAAUUCUUUUAAUUUAGUUCAUUUCUGGUAGUUUGGUGAGGGUAUUGCUUCUGAAACAAUUUACUGAUAUAUAAAGCUUUACUUUUUUAAACCAACAAGUAGCAAAUAAAUACAAAAUUGUGUGUUAUACUCCAUAACGGUCCACUUCGUACAAGAAUAUUUCGAGGUCAAUCGUCCUCCGUCCCACCGUGCUACUGUUCACAUAUUUACAGUACGGCAACUUGUUUUCCAUCUGUAUGUCAACUUGAUAGUUGUAUUAUAUGUUUAUGCCGUCCCUUUCAAGACUUAUAACAUUCUUACUUGAAAAGGACCGCAUAUACAUAUUAUAAUAAAACUAACAAGUUUAAAUAAUUUAAUUAUAAAUCAAAUAUAAAUAUAACUCGCCUAACAGCAUUAUAGAUCAUGGUACACGUAUCAUACACUAUGUUUUGAAGGUUUCAAUCAUAUCCCUUUGUAUUCUCCUAUAUGAUAGUGUAGGUAAUCCUAGUUGUUUAAGUCUCUCUGGAUAACUCGUGUCUUUGAGACCUGGUAAUUGUUGUGUUACCCUUCUUUGGACUCCUUUUAUUUUAUCAAUAUCGUUUUUCUUGUAUGGAGACCAUACUGAACUAGCAUAGUCCAAGUGAGUUCUGAUCAUGGUUUUAUACAAUGAUAUGAAUGUCUCAGUACACAAGUAUUUAAAAUUUCUUUUGCAAACUUCAAAAAUGGAGUUGGCCUUAUUCACUGUUUCGCUCUUUAACCUUUGCUAUUGUAUGAUUUAGUAGACUGCGAUUUGUUGAGUGGUCAGUGUUAUUUGAUUUUUUACAUAUUUUCAUGUAUUUACAUUUUUAAGGAUGAAAUUUUAGUAGCCAUUUGUCAAUUUUCUUCUUUUGGUUUUGAUUAUUGAUCUUUAUUAUUAAUAAAUUUUGAUCUUGCAUGUAUAUUCUGUUUUAUUAAAAUUUUCAAAUUUUGUACAGGUUAAAACCAUUUUUAAGCAAUAUUUUGUACAUGUUAUAAUAUGUACGAGGUACUUUUGUACAUGUUAUAACUUGUAUUUUAGCAAUGUACAGGUUAUAACAUGUACAAUAUUUUUGUACAUGUUAUAACCUGUACAAAAUUGCAACUUGUACACGACAUAUAUAGUGCUGAUUCUGAUGAUAGAUAAUUAUUUUUUUAGGUUUCUUAUACUAAGUAACUGAUUAUCAUGACACUGUCAUAACAUGAGGUGCCAGGACAGGCAGGAGAUGUGAGAAGUAGCAGUUUUAAAAUUUUAUUGCGGGAAAUGUUAAUUUCAAUAGUAUUUUAUCUUUUGGUAAGUUUUAGAUAGUCUUAUAUAUAAAAUAAUUAGAAUUUUGAAUGUAUACAUGAGGGUUGGAUGGGGUUAAAUGAUUAAAGAAAAAUGCCCUUAAAAAAUGAAGAUUAGAGAAUAACGGGCAAAAAAAAAUGAAAAUUAUAAGAGAAAAAAGGGGUUAAUUUUUUAUAAGAUUAGAGAGAAAAAAAAGGGUGAAAAUUAAAUGUUUACAGAAUAACAGACCCCCCCCCCCCCCAAAUCCAGACCCUCAUACAUACAUACAUGUACAUAUAGAACAUAAUUUUUUUUUCAAAAAUAGGACAAGUGAAUUCAUGUUUAAAGUGUAAAUUAAGUUUCUAGUUUAAAAAAAUAACAUUUAAUGAAAAAACUAAGGUCAUAUAUAAAUGUAAAAUACUGCAAUCUUUUGAAACAGAUAAAAUAAUGUCAAAUGGCAAUUUUACACCAUGAAAUAUAGUCCUCAUUAAAACUGAUUAUUUCUGUAAUAUGCUAGAAAUAUAGGUAGGGUCAAAUAACUUUUGUACUUGAAUGUCGGUUUGAUAGUAAACUAAUGUGCAAUUUUAUAUGACUGUAAAUGAGAAAUCAGCUAAUUUUGAUUAUUUUUGUCAAAAUAGUCAAUAUUUAGAGAGUGUGUGUUCGGAGUUCCAAAAAAACAUAUUCUAAGUAUGAAAAUAAACAGUUUUUCUAAGACUUGCUGAUCUUACUCUUUCAUUCAUAUAAUAUUACAUUCAAUUUUGGCAAAAAAUGACAAACUAUAGCAAAUUUAUAGCAACUCACCAAAAUUUUGAUCAUAUUGUAAAUUAGUUCAAUACACUGUUUCAUAAGGUUUUCAUCAUCAUGUAAAUAUUGAAAUCUGUCACUAAUCAUGUGUAUUCUUCAAAUAUCUAUAAAUUUGUGAUUUUUCUUUUCUUGAUUUGAAGUUGGAGAGAAUUGGAGAUUUGAGCCACUAUAAACAUACAUGUAUAAUAUCACUGUACUAGUGUACAUGUUUUUUAAGGGGCCAGCUGGACACUGCCUCCUGGUGCGGGAGUUUCUCGCUACAUUGAAGACCCAUUGGUGGCCUUCAGCUGUUGUCUGCUCUAUGGUCUGGUUGUUGUCGCUUUGACACAUUCCCCAUUUCCUUUCUUAAUUUUAUGUAUAAAAUAUAUCUCUGCAUAUCUGAAGCCCCAGACUAGUAAAUUUCUUUUGGACUAGUAAGUUUUUGCAAAACUUUGUUUGAACCAAUAAGAAAAAUGUCAGAAUAUUGGUCUUUGGACUAGUAGUUGAGAAAAGAUUUUGGUGCAGACUGUAUAUAUAUCACAUUUCCUUUAUCAAAAGUUUUUUUCAAGCAGAAAAAAAGAAUGGGUUGAAGAAAAAUUAUUGAAAGCUACAUUUGUCAAAAUUAAAUAUUUGCGGAAAAUUUGCUCUUUUUAGUGGCCUCCUCUCAUACUUGUUUCUAGCUAUAAAUUGCACUUAUCAAAGACUUAGACAAACGCAUGUUUUAUUUUACUAAACAUAUAAAUAUAUAUAUAUUAUAUCAGAUUUUGAAUUAUUUCUUCUAGAAUGGUGUUUUUCUAUGCAUUCUACAAACUAGUUUUCUUUAAACAAAGCUCUAAAAUACCUUGUGAAAUAUAAUUUUAGCUUUUAAAUUACAUUCUGUAGUACAUUGUAGUUGCAAAGGGAGAUAAGAUCAAUAUGUAAUAUGUAGCUUCAAAGAUAUGAAAAAAUAUAUGUUAUAUUUUACUAGAUUUUUGCACAUGAUCUCCUGAUAUGUUCUGAAUUUGAUCAUAGGUAUUUUUUUUUAUUGUUCAUGUAUCAUUAUGAAUUGGUUUUUUUCUUAUUUUUGUAUGAAUUAUUCUGAUCAUUCAUAAAGUCAAAUAGACAAUACCAAACUAUGAUAAAAAAUGAUAUGCAAUGCUGUACAUAUACUAUAAAUCUAUUAAUUAAUGAUUUUUUCUUCUAGAAUUGACAUAUAUGGAACUGUAACACGGAGAAGCUGACUUGAAAGAAAUAUACUUAGUAUUUUGUAUGCUGAUAGAGAAUGACAGUCACAGACUUUUAUUAAUGUUGUAAUUCAAACAAUUAUCAUACACACAGGAAAUAAACAUAUAUAAUUUUUAC
rnacentral:lncRNA from 1 species